rnacentral:rRNA from 1 species
AGAGUUUGAUCCUGGCUCAGGAUGAACGCUGGCGGCGUGCUUAAUACAUGCAAGUCGAACGAGGGACUUCUGUCUUCGGAUGGAGGUUUCCUAGUGGCGAACGGGUGAGUAACGCGUUGGUGACCUGCCCCGAAGUGGGGGAUAACAGUUCGAAAGGACUGCUAAUACCUCAUGUGAUCAGCUGGAUUAGAUGCCUACUGAUUAAAGGCGAAAGCCGCUUUGGGAGGGGCCUGCGUCCCAUCAGCUAGUUGGUAGGGUAAUGGCCUACCAAGGCGAUGACGGGUAGGGGACCUGAGAGGGUGGCCCCCCACACUGGCACUGAAACACGGGCCAGACACCUACGGGUGGCAGCAGUAGGGAAUAUUGGACAAUGGGCGAAAGCCUGAUCCAGCAACGCCGCGUGCGCGAUGACGGCCUUCGGGUUGUAAAGCGCUUUUAGAGGAGAUGAGAAAGGACAGUAUCCUCAGAAUAAGCCUCGGCGAACUACGUGCCAGCAGCCGCGGUAA